AUUGAACGCUGGCGGCAGGCCUAACACAUGCAAGUCGAACGAGUGGCGGACGGGUGAGUAAUGUCUGGGAAACUGCCUGAUGGAGGGGGAUCACUACUGGAAACGGUAGCUUAUACCGCAUACCCUCAGAUGUACCCAUAUGGGAUUAGCUUGUUGGUGGGGUAACGGCUCACAAAGGCGACGAUCCCUAGCUGGUCGGAGAGGUUAACCAGCAAAACUGGACCGGAGAAACGGUCCAGAAUCCUACGGGAGGAAGAGGGGGGGAAUAUUGCAAAAGGGGCGCAAGCCGGAUGCAGCCAUGCGGCGUGUAUGAAGAAGGCCUUCGGGUUGUAAAGUACGUUCAGCGGGGAGGCGUUACCCGCAGAAGAAGCACCGGCUAACUCCGUGCCAGCAGCCGCGGUAAUUC
rnacentral:rRNA from 1 species